rnacentral:tRNA from 1 species
GAGGGUAUAGCCCAGUCACAGAGCAUGUGCUUAGCAUGCACAAGGUCCUGGGUUCAAUCCCCAGUACUUCCA